rfam:Brassica napus, WGS project CCCW01000000 data, contig: 16725
AGAAUAUAAGAAUCCGUUUCUUAACUUUUAACUAAAAAAAUUAAGAACCGGCUUGCUUAACUUUUUUAGUUAAAAGUUAAGAACCGAGUUCUUAUAUUCC